rnacentral:lncRNA from 1 species
AACAUGAUAUGCUAGAUGCCUCAUUGUGCAGUUGCUGUUUACUCAUCUUUGGCCAACUGGAUUUUAUCUUUGUUGUGAGGUCUUAUAAGUGUAUAAUUAUUGGUUUCAGUUUCUCUAAAAUAUAAAUACAAGACCUACAAACUUUGGGAGUGAAAAUAGCAAGGAGGGGUAAAGGCCUUCGUAAAAAAAAAAAAAAAGAGAAUCAGAGACCAUACAGAAAGAGGAACAGGCCUAGACAUAACUUAGAAAUACUAAUAACUUAC